UGUGGGGCUAAUUAGUAUUAGGGAUGAGUUUAGAGAUGAGCUUGUGUGCACACGUUCUCGGGACAGUCCCACUGGACCCAUCCUUGGUUCUGAGUGUUAAUUAAAGCUUCUACACUGUAGCUUGAAAUUUAGUAGGAAAUAAAUUAACAUAGGUUAAUUCCAUAGACAAAAGAGACCAUCCUUCCUUGAAGUCUCAUUCUCUUCCAUAUUUGGGCAGCUGGACAAGUUCCAGGGGCACCACCUGGUGAUCUUAGAGUUCAUUCUCCAGAUUUGUUAUAAUCCCUGUAGUGUCUCUCUAAUUAGCAAUGUCAGAAUCUUCCUCCUGGCUCCCAAAUCUCUUAGGUUAACUGAAGGGCAGAGUGGUGAGAGGAAGUCUGAAAGAUUGGGGCUGAAAUUCUUGUUCUGGCAGUAACUAACUCCAAGACCUUAAAGUUGCAGAGCCUCUCAGAGCCUCAGUAUCUCCAUCUGGAAAAUGGGAAUGAAAACAGCAAAAUGCCUCCUGGAGUUAGUGUGAAAUGAGAGGACUGAGUGAUAUCCAAGGAAAAGGCAUGAAGUGAGCCCUCGGGAAAGGGCUGUCUCCAUGUGCACAGUCCUGGAGUGUGUCUGGUCACUGUCCUCCAGGUACCUUUGGAGAAAUGCACCCUCCUGAUUCUAAUCUACAGCAAAAAGCACAGAUGUAUCUCCAGUGCCCUAGGACUGGUACUUUAUGCAGAGGCACCCUGGUACCCAGAGAUACUGGGUCUUUCACUGUGUUGCCAGGCAAGCCUCCAAUGAGAAGGAGCUGCUAGACACCAAGGGGUGAAUCCACAGUAAGGAGGGCUCUGAUUGUACUUGGCACUUGGACUUGGUCCAGUAAAGGCAGAGAUGAUGAAGAAAGCCCUUCUUCUAAAUGGUUCCAGAGCCUUCUGCAGACCAUCACAUAUUAGGACUCUGUGGGGGUCAUUAGCCAGAACUCUGCCCACCUCACCCAGGGAACUCUGACCAUCCAAGGCAUGCGGCUCCUAGUGCAUUUAACUCUCAACAGAACCCACAUCGCUCCCUCACUUUGAUAAAAGGCUGCCCUGCGGCAGCUGGAACCCACUCUGGGGGUCAAUGCAACAGACAGAGUCCCUGGGAACAGCCUUGGGUUGAUGGGUAUAGGUUAUCAGUGCUGCAGCUCCCUGGCCCCUGCCUAGGGCAGCUCCGAAGUAUGACCUACACCGUUUCCUGAGCUCCUCUGUGGAGUUGAGCCAAAGUCAACCUCCGCAGGCCUUUGCUUGACAUCACAGCCUUGCUUGGUCUCCUCCCCUACGCAAGCCCACUGCCCCAAAACCACACCAGUGUUUUCAGGUGCACACUUCCUAAUGCACCACUUUCACAUUCAUUAUUUCAGGAUCUGCUUCUGGGGAAGCCAACCUAAGGCAGAAGGAAAUUCAGAUAACAGGUAUUUUGUACCCGCUAAGUGCCAGUCACUGAGUUAUAAUGUUUUUCUUAUUUUUAAUACAUUAUCUCAUUGUAUUCUCAUAAUUAAUGUUUGGGGAUUUUUAAAGGUAAGGAAACUGGGGCUCAGAGAUUUAAGCAACUUGCCCCAGGUUACACAGCUGGGAAGGGGUGAGCAUCUUAGCCUGGGAAUCCAGUCCUCUUGCCUCUGCCUCUUUGCCUUGGAGGGUAGGGUAGAGAUGGAGGCAGGAAUGCUAAGAGCAUCUCCAGGAUGCUGCAAAGCUUCUGUCUCUUCUGUAUGUUGAAGUUUCUGUGCUAUAUUUUAUUUUUAAAAUAGGUUCUAUUUUACAAAGAGAAAGUUGAAAGCCAGUGCAUUUUAUCUUCUCCACGGGACAGCAAUGAAGAUAAAAUGAAAUAAUGACUGUAAAGUGCUCAGCACAAAGCUUGGCACACAGCAUACAGCCCAUAAAUGUCUGCAAACAGGAUUAUAUAUUUAUAAUGUGCACUCACAAUUUAUAUGUGCUUGUCAUAAAUAUGCCACCUAUAAUUUAAGAAAACAAAUAAUUUACCUAUUUUCAACAGAUGCAAAUACUGUCCAUGUCUAGUUAGUAGAAAUAAAUUAUAGAAGCAUGCAUAUAUGCAUUAUUUCUACCUAUAUAUUUAGAGUGAGUGGAUACAAAUGAUUUGACUCGGCCGGGCGCUGUGGCUCCCGCCUGUAAUCUCAGCACGUUGGGAGGCCUAGGUGGGUGGAUCACCUGAGGUCAGGAGUUCAGGACCAGCCUGGCCAACAUGGC
rnacentral:lncRNA from 10 species